CCAAAGGCUGAGGGGAGAGCGUGCAGCGGGUGCCAUGCCAGCCACGGCAGGAUGGGAGGCAGAGACCCCCUGAGAGAUGUGGUGGCCCCAGGCACCUACCUGGCCUUGUUUUGUACGAUGGAAGGCAGGGGAUCACAACACCCGGAUACGUUUGGCUCCGAUGAUACACAUGUCAGGGGAGUGAUGCUGUGUUCGUGACAGACCUGCUCAGGUGUCAGUCUGCCAGCAUUCUGCACAAAAAAUUGUGUUUCUUUCCUGGCAGGAGUUAACAGUGUGCUCCAUCUCAAAUAAACCCUAUCACUUCUUAA